rnacentral:rRNA from 1 species
CCUGGUGGUUAUGGCGGGGUGGCCGCACCCGUUCCCUUUCCGAACACGGCCGUGAAACGCCCCUGCGCCCAUGGUACUUCGUCUUAAGACGCGGGAGAGUAGGUCGCUGCCAGGUCUGCCAAACGCAACUUCACGCUAAACCGCAUCGCGGUUUAUGCGUCUCAAAAAAUCUUCUCUGAUCACACGCGAUAAACCCAAAAGGUUUACGCUCAAACGGCCAAGCCGUGUUACAAUAGGCCGCUCCAAGCGGCCUUUGUCGCUUCUGAA